CCUCUUCUCUCUCCCUAUUUUCUAAAUUACAACUAGAACUAACUAGAACUAGAACUAGAGGAACUAGAACUAGAACUAGAUGAACUAGAACUAGAUCUAGAUGAACUAGAGGUAGAACUAGAAGAACUAGAGGGAUCCUCUCUACUUGGAUGAAGAAUUGAAACCCUAGCUUUGAUUCUGUAGAAGAGGUAUGAUCUCCAGGGGCCAGGGGGCCUUGCUUAUAUAGUCUUUUCAGAUGAAUCUGGGCCGUUGGAUCAAACCGACAUUAAUCGCAUGGUUUUCCUUGGUCCCUUAGGUCGGUGGAGCACGAUCCGCGAAGUUGAAGCUGAUUGGUUACUGUAGCUGGGCGGGCACCCAAGGGACUUGGGCGGGCGCCCUGCCCCCGGGCCCGAUCGGCCUCCCGUUCGUUCCCGUGGCUUCUGGAGUCUUCUCGAUGGUAGAAAAUUGUGUGGCACGUUAAUAUCUCUAUGUAAACCCGACGUGUGGGCCUUUCUUUCAUAUUUCCUGAUAACCCCCUGCAGAAAUAGACAAACACCAAAACUCGUGGAAUUCUGUCAGAUAAAACCCUAAGUCUAGGUGUUAGUUGCAUUUGGAUCCUUUUCCCUGAUUAGUUGAUGGUUAAAUGUGAGCAUUGAGGACCGUCAACAAGCUCCCCUAAGCUUAACCUUUGCUCGUCCCUGAGCAAAGAUGAACUCAAGAGUUUCUGCAGUGGUUUCAUGCCUUAAAGAUACACAUGCGUUCAAACAGGAUCUCAUCUCUAGGUUAGGGUAAACUGUUAAGAUUUAAAACUUACUCAUUUUACCUUUCACCAUGGGGCUUGCAACCGUCACUUUUGUCUUGAGCAGUUAAAAGAUAGAACGGUCUAGUCAAGCACCAUGUCUCUUGUUCUUCGAUUAACUAUAGGUCUGGAGUUUUUGCAGAUUUUCAAAUAAAACUCAGAGAUUCCUUGUAUGACUCUCUCUAGUCUCUCUUUUGUGGUAUUUCUGGAUCCUUACCAAGGCAGUAAAUAUGUAUGCCUUCUCUCAAAGUAUGUGGUAUUUUUGGUAUGAGGCAUAGUGACAUUUCCUUCUCUCUCACCCUACUCUAAUAAGGUUUUGAUAUCUGGAGCUCAUAGGUGGGAGACAGCUAAUACAUACUUACAAGACAUUUAUUGCAUAGUCAAACCACAUGGAUCCAGAAGAACAAGUCAAUAAGUCAAAUCAAGAUGUGCAUGUGUGGUGUAUGAAUGAUGUAUGGUGACGAUGGUAAUAACAAUGGUGAAAGUCUAAUUCUACUUUUGCUCUUUUGAGGGGGUACAUACCUUUCUUGCUCUUUUGAAACUUUUUGAGGAAAAUGAGAUGCUCUAUAUUUUCUUUUUCUCUCACGUGGGUAUCUUGUACCACUAAUUCUACUGUCGGACACUUAUCCAUUUUUACCUCUCGUCUCACUUUUUCUUUCUUUCGAGGUUCCGGGCACUUGCCCCUUUUUAUUUCCUCGCAUUCUUUCUUUUUUUCUUUCUUUUUUUUAGAGCACUCAUCUCCUGAAAUAAUAUAGCAUGUGGUAGUAACCAAGAUAACUUGAGCAUUUUUUCACUGGGAAAAACAGAAAUAGGAGAAUGUUUUUGGCUAUUCUCUGCCGGAUUAGGAGUAGAAUAUUUUUGGGUGGUUCUGGAGAUGGAAAUGGAUGGAUAUAUGUGGAUGGUACUUCUGGAGUAGAAGUAGCAUGUGUGAGUGAAUGUGCAAGUGAAUCUUGAUUUAACGACAUGACAAGCUCCUAAGGGUCUACACAGCUUGACCACACUCAAUGCUCAUAAGCAGUAAAAAGUAAAUGUGUGGUUCUUAGUCUAACAAGCAUGUAUAUAUGGCUGUGGUAGGAAUUUAAACUCUCAUCAUACAGGAACUCAUCAUGCAACAUUUUAAAGAUAUUCGAAGAUAAAAUUCUCUAGAAUUCUAGCAUCUCUACAGAUAAAUAGCAGCUCAACCUUCCCAUAUCAUAUCCGUUAACGACUUAGACUUUAUAUCAAGUACUCUUCCCACAAGUUCAGGUUUAGAGCAAAUCUUAAUUAAUAACAGUGAUGCCUAAACUUGAGAGAGAUUUCAAUUUUGAGAACUAGUCAUGGCAGAGCAACUAUUUAUUAUUUUCAUGUGAGAGCUUAUCAUGAGGGUUCAUAGCGAUCUUUAUUUAUUUAUUUAUUUAGCAAACUAAGCAAAUAUAUAUAUAAGCACAAAAUCUUUAUUUAGGUUUUUAUGAUUAUGCGUAUUUUUAUUAUUUGAGUAAAGUAUAACCAUGAGUAGAACACUUAGCUGGAUAAAUGGGGGUGCUCUCCCCCAAGCUGGAUUUUGACGCAAUUUCUUCUGAUGUAGCUAGCAGGUGGUGGAGGUGUAUUUAAAUGUCAGCAGCACCCUGACAGCGAUUAGGAUGUCCUCCGUCAGCUAGUCUUCUUUGAUCCUUGAAUUCUGUGGAGCUCAAAUAGACAACAAAGCUUUGUGGAACUAGUUAAGUGUUAGCAUAAAUAUCUAGCCUUUAUCAUAUUGAGCCUCCUCAAUAAAUGUUACUCUCUUUAGUAGGAUCAUUAAUUUUUAUAGUUUUAUUUUUAUAGGACAGGAAUAUACUUAUUUUAUUUUUACGCCACCACAGUGGAUGUACUUAUGGGUUUUAUGCCAUGAGCAUACUCACAUGGGGCUUACUAUUUUUAACAUUUUUAUUUUUUUUUAAGAUGAUGUGAACCUGAUUAACUAAGCAAACUAUUUUAAAAUAAUUGAAAGGAAAAAAGAUAACUACCAAGUUUACCUCUUGGCAAGGCGUUCGGUGUUUUUAAGUCCUCCGAACGGGACUCUCCGUUUUCUCAGUCGUCCUGGGAUUUGCUGGAUGGCAUAGUCGGUGGUUCCGGCAGAGCCUGCUCUUCGUGUAUAACUAUCUUCUCUCUCCACACCUGACUCGGUGCUACGGUCUCCUCAGGACAGUUCUGUUCAAGCUGUAUGUCUUCAGACCUCACUAUUUCUCCUUCGUAGUCUGUCCAUCCGUCCUUGAUAAUUUGCCUCCUCUGGUUGCGGUUGCAUUGUCUUCUUCUUGUCCUGACCUGCUUAGAGUCUUCAACUAUAUAGUUAGGGUCAGUAAAAUAGUGGCGUACCUUCUCAGAGGGAAAGUGCAUGUGGACUUCUCCGGUUCCAAUGUAGAUGAUUGCUUUAACAGUGCUGAGGAACGGUCUUCCAAGGAUGAUGGGUGGAUCGUACUUGUCUUCUCCCAUGUCAAUAACCUUAAAAUCAUCUGGAGCUGAAUGUAUGUUGGUUGUAGGGACAUGGUUCCAUGCAGGAGCUGAUAGGUGGCUGCAGCCAUUAUGUUGACGCCUGAUCCGGUGUCGCAAAGCGUCUUGUGCAAGUUGUAUCCAUUAAUGGAGCACUGGAUGCUUGGCAUACUUAGGUCGUCCUUUUUGGUCAGGAACGGUGACUUAAGUUGACGAUCUUGACCUCCUUGAACUGCAGUGACCAUCUUAGCUGACUUGGUCCACAUUUGCUUGUUCAUGUUCCUCUUGUUGGUCCUUCCUUGGUUCAUGUCAGGAUUGCUCUAAGAUUUGUGUAGUCUUUUUCUUGAAGGAAAACGUCUCUUUCUUCCCCUUGAUGUAGAAACUGAUCUUGGCAGCACUAGCGUAGAUGACAGCUCCCGAGGUGUUCAGGAAUGGCCUCCCUAGGAUGGGUGCCCUCUCAUCAGUACCAGUCUCUAUCACCACGAAGUCUGCUGGGGCGUACAAGGUACCAACUCGGACGAAGAGGUUGUUCAAUAUUCUCUUUGGGAAACUUAGCGUACGAUCUGCAAGCUGCAAACACAUGGUUGUUUCUAGGAAAGGAUGUGUAAAGAAUUUUUCAUUGAGUACCCUGAGCAUAAUGUUGACGCUGGAGCCAAAGUUGCAGAGUGCUUCUAGGAAGUCCACCAUGCCGAUGGAGAUCGGGAUGACGGGACGUCCUGGAUUUUAUCUCUUGACUGGCAGAAGGUCAGUAAUUACUUCCACAACAGGGUUACUCCAGUAGUUACGUCCUCAAGCAUCUCAGGGCAGUGAUUGUCUGAGUGUCCAGUAUCUCCAGUGUGUUUGUGCUCGUAGAUCUAGGUUCUUCUCUUGGUGGAGUCUUGGAGUUGUAAAACUCCUUCAUAUUUUGCUCGAAGUGUACCUGCUCAUAGAGACAAGGCAGAGAUCAAGUGCAUGGGCCCUGUUGGUGGAAAACACCAACAGAACCAAAAGUGUAUUUAUUCUUCUCUAUCCUUAAGCAUAGUAAGCAAGACAAAGUUGAUGGAUAAUAAAAUCAUGAGUGUAGCAUUUAAAACAUUUGUUAGAUCAGAUCACUCAACCUAAAGGAAAGAUAAUCUAUCUAUAUUUAUGUUGUUUUUUUAUAAUAUAUAUCUUCCAAAGAUUGAGUGUGCAACAUUUUAGCUCAUAAGAUUAGGAGUGUGGGAUCACAAAGGUAGUACUAUAAACAAAGAUUAAAGGACUAAACAUGUUGAAUCAGUUGGGUUGGUUAAUUUGGAGUUAUAAAUCAUACAUGUUUGUCUCUUUAUUUAUGUGAACGCUAGAACCAAGGAGAAGCUUAUAAAAGUGAUAAUCAAGUACCUUAAGAUGUUACCUUACUUGAAGAGUGAUGGUACAGUAUUACCUUGUGGAAGCUUUCCUUUCUUAGCGGUUAUGCAUCGUGUUUGUGGCACCCUCCAUGGAUCAUCUCUUGUGAGCUAUGCCUUCCUUGUAUAAAUUGUUAAACUUCAUGUGUCUCUCUCUUUGUCUCCAAUAUGAGUUUAUCUCAAGACUUCCCAGGUGGAUAUUGAAAGUUUUCCUGCAGGGUUAGUCCAACAAAAUAUCCAAUAUCUACUAUAGCACACUAUCGGCUCAAAAAUCAAUCUAGACACCAUGUCUAAUUUGAUUUAGGAGGGCAUUUUAACCUAAGCACCAUGCUUAAUUUAAAAACCCUUGGAAGUAAGAUCAUCAGCCCUAAACUAAGCACCAUGCUUAAUUAAGAGAUAAGUGAAACUACUCCAAAUCUAGACAUAUACUAAAGCAAAUAAAGGUAGCAUGAGAACAUUUAUAGAGAUCUACUCAAGUGGAGAUAAAGUAGUGUGAUUAGUAUUUAACAAUUUGAGCAUGUCUCAAAGGUAGGGACAACCAACAUAGCAACAUGGCAAAGGAUGUUUUUAUGUAAAGUACUCCCCGAAGUUUGAAUUUUUGCAAAAUUCAAGUUUGGAUGAAUUUAAUUCAAUGUUGUAUGAUGAUUGGUUGGAUAUACCUUGUGCUUGUCAUUCAUCCGAUCUUCUUGCUCCAAUCCUAGAAGGUUAUUGACAAGAAUACCCGAAGGAAUAUUUUUACAAUUAUCCUUAUAUGCUCAAUACACAAGGUAAUGUUGCAAAUAAUUAAAAGCUCAUGUUAUGAUCUGAUCAGUGCUUAUUUUAGGACACUAAGCUUGUCCUUGGGAAACCAUCAAUUUAUGUCAGUGAAGUGGUUUCCCCUCCAACGCUGACCUAUAUCAAGAUCAACUCAACGAGAUCUGCAAAAUUUAUUAUAGACAUAUGCAUCGACAACCGCCCUUUUAAAGUUUUUAUGAAUAGAAAGGAAGAGGGGGUUGGAGAUCUCGAAUGUGGUGAUGUUGGAGAGACCAAUGGAUUGUGAAGAUGUUGCAUAUGAGCAUGGAGUAAGUGAAGUGGCUAUGAAAUAAAUUCCAUGCUCAUUAAUGCUUAGAGUGAAAUCCAUGUGGUAUGGUGAAAAUGGUAAGGUGAGUGUGGUAAAAAAAGGAAAAGAAAAAUGAUACACGGAUGACUUGGUUCGAAACUAGCACAGCUACCGUUCCCCGGCAACGGCGCCAGAAAGCUUGUUGGGUAUUUUAAACGCAAACAGAAAAAAUCCGCAAGCGCACGGAUACCGAUGUAGCUUUCACCCGGGAGUAUUCCAGAGUAUCGAUUUUCCAUAGGGAACGUGAGUGUACUAAUUAAGAUCCAAGAUCGCCCAAGGAUAACUAUAUAAUUAUUUUUGGUGGGAAGAGAGGAAGUUUCCUGAGAGUUCUCUAGUUGAUCUAAGAAUCAAGAAUUACUUCAAGAUUAUCUAUUUCGGGACAUGAGAGCACUAACCACAGAAAGAGAUGAGAAGGGGGCUAGGAAGGUCUGACUACGGUCCUACAAACACCGAUCCGAACGAGGUGGAAUACGUCGACCAUUAGGGCUGUCACUACCCUAAGGCUACCACAACAAUCCGCAGGAUUGGGUGCAAUUCCAGGUAAUUGCAAGACUAAACACCACGUCUAAUCUAUUAAUUACUACUCUAAUGUUUCAAAGAUUAGAGCACUUGAUGCAAGCGGGAAUCCAAUAAAUAACUUGAAUGUAAAUAAAAGUAAUUAGAGAACUCAGGAAUUAUGAAUUGAAGAACCUGGAGAACGAUGAAGAACGAACCAGAUGCUGCAAAAGUAUAAUGUUGAGGAAGAUCCGACAGAUCCGGCUCCUCCUCCGCUCUCCUCUUCUCUCUCCCUAUUUUCUAAAUUACAACUAGAACUAACUAGAACUAGAACUAGAGGAACUAGAACUAGAACUAGAUGAACUAGAACUAGAUCUAGAUGAACUAGAGGUAGAACUAGAAGAACUAGAGGGAUCCUCUCUACUUGGAUGAAGAAUUGAAACCCUAGCUUUGAUUCUGUAGAAGAGGUAUGAUCUCCAGGGGCCAGGGGGCCUUGCUUAUAUAGUCUUUUCAGAUGAAUCUGGGCCGUUGGAUCAAACCGACAUUAAUCGCACGGUUUUCCUUGGUCCCUUAGGUCGGUGGAGCACGAUCCGCAAAGUUGAAGCUGAUUGGUUACUGUAGCUGGGCGGGCACCCAAGGGACUUGGGCGGGCGCCCUGCCCCCGGGCCCGAUCGGCCUCCCGUUCGUUCCCGUGGCUUCUGGAGUCUUCUAGAUGGUAGAAAAUUGUGUGGCAUGUUAAUAUCUCUAUGUAAACCCGACGUGUGGGCCAUUCUUUCAUAUUUCCUGAUAACCCCCUGCAGAAAUAGACAAACACCAAAACUCGUGGAAUUCUGUCAGAUAAAACCCUAAGUCUAGGUGUUAGUUGCAUUUGGAUCCUUUUUCCUGAUUAGUUGAUGGUUAAAUGUGAGCAUUAAGGACCGUCAACAUCUACCUUGGGGUAUACCCAUUGUAGUAGAUUAUCGGUAGACAGGUGCGCAAGCUACGAACUUGAUGGUGACACAAGACACAUACAAGGAUUUUAUCUAGAUUCGGCCACCAUGAGGGUGUAAUACCUAUGUCCUGUGUCUGAUUGUAUGGAUAUGAGUUGUGUUGAGAUGAGAUGAUCUGAGGGGGUCCCUUGCCCCUCCUUACAUAGUCUGGGGGACAAGGUUACAAAUCUAGAAACUAAUCCUAGUCGGUUACAAUUGCCACAGAUAGUUCGAUAUCAAUUUCUAUUCUAACCGACUAUUCGAUAUCAAUUUCUAUUCUAACCGACCAGGAUCUUGCUUGAUCUCCAUGUCUUGUCUCCUUACGCAGAACUCCGAGUAGAUGGAUCAAGCUACGAGUGGUCUUGUAGUGGGCCAAAUCUCUCGGCCCAAGUCUAGCCAUAAGGGUAUAGGGGUUUAUAUCCCCAUAGGGAUGGAUCCAGCCGCCGACAAGGAGGGGCACCACUCCCAUUUGCACCACUGAGGAGGAGGGCACCACCAGGGGAGGGAAGGAGAGGGGUGCACCGCUAGGAGGGAGGUAGGGUGAGGCAGAAGAGAAGUGGCUGGUGACCUCGACCUAUCAUGGGUGAGAAGAGAGGGGAGGAGAGUGGUGCGCUCGACUGUGGGAGAGCAGGCACCACUCAGCUGCAGGAGGGAGUAGGAGUGGCAGUGUAGUGAACCCUAAGUUCUAGUAUAUACAUGAAGAUGGCUAUCAGGCUCUGACUGGGCUGGCUGGGCCUCGGCCUUUUAGGAGGCAGGCUAGAUAGUGUGCCCAUCUCCAAAAAUAGAUUUACAAGGGUGGGCACUAUAACACGACAGUCUUCAAAAAUACUAUUUUUGGAGGCGGUUACCUUAAUACACCCGCCUCCAUAAAUCGAUUUUAGGAGGCGGCCAAAAGUGUCCGCCUCGGUAAAUAAAAAAUGCCCACAUCCAUUAAUCGCUGGCAUUAACCAAGGCGGUUGAAUUUUGUGACCGCCUCCAAUAAUAAAAAGGUACUUUUUUGCAAAAUCAUUUGAUAAUAGUUCAGUACAAGCAACUGCCUCGAUUAAUACUUAUUAAAUGAGGCGGCCACCAUAACCCACCUACCUCUGCUAAGAGGUUAACUGAGGCCAACCUUAAACCAUUAACAAAGGCAGAUGUUAUUAGUUCCCUCCUCCAUUAAUAAUUUUCAGAUUAAAACAAUACUUUUUAAAAUUUAGAUUCAAAUUUAAAUUUGAAUUUUGCUAAUUAAAGCAGAAAACACGCUUAUAGAGAACAAACCUAUAUUACAUUCAUUCAUGUCAUUCUUAUGUUCCAAGAACCGACAUUAAGUUAUUACAUUACAUUGUCUUCCUUGUCGUACGACAAACAUAUAUUGAAUUCGUACAUGUGAAACUAAGGAUCAAAAGAUGUCCAACAACUUGUAAUAUGUGAUGUCUAAAAUGGCUCGGCUACAAAAUUUGGCAUCACAGACAACAAUCAAAUUAGCAUCAAAGACACCAGGGAAGGGUUCAUCACAAGCAUUACACAUGUAGAAAAGGGGAUGAUCCUUUGUGAGCCGGAUAUGUAGCUGUGACGGUAAUAGAUGGAGUCGGGGAAGAUGGAGUUGGGGAAGACCGCUACUAGGGUUCCCAGCGGAUGGAGCUAGGAAGUCAAGAGUAGGAGCAGAGGGACUCAACACUAGGGAAGGCCCCAUGAAGGACGACACGAGGACUGAAGGACGGAGCCAGAUGCGGUGGACAACAUGGUGGAUGGAGGCGGUGGAUCUCGACGAAGAGGAGAGGGCGUGACAGAUUGAUGGUGAAGAUGGAGCCAAGGAAGAAGGCCGUAGGGGUCACGGAUGGUAGCGGGUGGCAUAGUGACCAAAAGCUAGGGUUCUGCCCCACGACGGCUGGAGCUAGGAAUCUGCCCUGAGGUCAUGGACGGAUGAGGAAGAUGGCAGGCAGAGCUUGGAGCGUGCGAAGUCAGGGCCAGGAAUGGCGGCAGAAAAAUUUGGUAUCCCUUUGGGGUUGAUUUGAAAUGGUCGAAGGACUCAAAGAAUUUGGGGAGAUGAGGGAGUAUAUAUAGGCCACGGUUAACCGAGGUGGGUGGCUUAGGGUCCCUGCCUUAGUUAAUAUUAACAGAGGCAGGCGAGUAAGGGUGCCCACUCUGGUUAAUAUUAACCGAAGCGUAUGGCUUAGGGUGCCCGCCUCGGUUAAGAUUCUUUAUUUUUUGAAUUUUGAAUUGUUCUUCAGUUAAAUUAUUUUUACUAUGUGUUAAGUUGAUUUUUAAUUUUAAUGCUUUUUAAAAUUCAUAUUUAUUUUAAAGUGCCUAUUAAACUUUGACAAAUUAGUAUAAGUAUUAGAAAUAGUACUAGGAGUAGGGAGAAGGGAUAGUAGAGCAGUGUUAGUAGUGUAGUUGUAACAGAGUAGUAGUAUUGUAGGGGUAGUAGAGUGUAGUACAGUAACACAUAAUGAUGCAUACAUAAAUGUGAGGCAUACAUGGUUCCAUUAUAAUAAUUAGUUACAAAACUUAUUGUUAAUCAAUAAGUCACUACAUUAUUACAUAUAUGUGUGGCAUGCAUAUCAUUUUGCUGCAGGUGCUCCCAUAGUGUUCUUCCCAUCUUGGUAUUGUUGAAGCAGGUCUCGACGGCCUUGAUCUUCUAUGGAUGAUCGAUAAAGAGUGAGAGCUCUACAAAGUUGUUGAAUUCUUCACGGCUCUAAACUCCAUAAGCUCCCAUAAUCUCUAGUUUCCUAACACAAAAAUGUUCCUCUUCUUGUCCUUGGGCACCCCAAAGUAGGCUACUUGCAUGCAGCGGCUUACUAGUACCCACUAAUCAUCUUUGUAGCCGACAAUUUGGAGCUCCAUGGUGGUUAGCCUUUAGUCAUCCACAACAAACCCCUUUGGUUUUACCCACUUGCACCGGAAGACAACUAAUUGUAGGUCACUCCCAUAUCUCUUCAAUCUACUCAAAGUAUGUCCUAGUCCCCCCUCAAUUCAUCAAUGCACUCAUAUCAAACAAUGUUGUUAUGUGUCAUGCUCUUCUUGUCCUUCUAUUUUGUAUGUAACAUGUAUCCAUUGAUGUCAUACCCUUGCCAUGUGAUGAUUUGGGUUGACGGGCAAUAUAAGCCCCUCCUUCAUCAAGUUCUCCAUGGGGUAUGUCCUGCUAGUCUUUGAUUUGCACCGUGAAACUGAUUUUGUGCUACUGCGCUGUGAAACUGAUCUUGCGCUAUUUAUGGACCCAUGCUUCUGUGCACUCUCCAUCAUGAAUGGCAUGGGUCUCCUCCAGGUGCUUGUCAACAUAGUUCGAUGACCACUAGCUGAUGGAGGAUGUUGUGAUGAGCUUCUUACACCAUUUCGUACUGUAUAUGGGAGUAUGCUUUCCUCCCCAUGCAACCCAUUCCUGAUGUUUUGCUUUCAUGUUGAAGGAUGGGCAAGCCAAUCGCCCUUCCAUCUUGGAUGUACCUAGUAUAGCAGUUAAUGACCAUCUUCACAUACUCUAGAUCGAUAGUUGUGAUCACAAUUGGAAGGAAUACCAUCAGUAUGAUAUGGAAGUCAUGUGAGUUGAAGCUAGUCAAUGUGAGGUCCUUUAGGCUCUUGAUAUUGGUAGAGAAACUAGUCGACACCUUGACACCCCUAAUCUACUAGCACACAACCCUCUUAUCAUCUAAAGGUUAAAACACAACACCAUCCACUGCUUCGGGCAAUCCUUGUAGAGGGGAUCAAUUGUCACUUGCUUCAUCUUUGAAAUUCUCCAGCCACACAUCGGGCUCCUAAUAAAUAGAAUGUCGUCAUGGUCUAGACGGUUAGUGAUUUCCUCAAAAUACACCACAUCCUCAGCUUCCCUCGUAGUAGUUGGCUCCCCAUCCCCAUAGGUGCCCCCACCGUCAUUAUCGUCUACCAUGUCUUAGAGCAGAUCAUCUAUUAUGAUGUAAUUGCUAUCUACAUUGUCACCAGUAGUAGUGUCAUGCGCAUCGGCUGCUGCUGCUAAUGAGGGUUGUUGUCCUCUAUCAUGGUCUGCAUUCACAACCGUUGUUGAUGUCGUUGACAUGUUUCUCUAGAUGCACUUGCACUCAGAUCUGCUUCGCCGUGAAACUUUGAAACAGUGCGAUUCUUGAUGAAACCAUACUGGAUCAAGUGAGAUUGCACUACAUGAUCUCUAUGGGCAAGAUUGUUCUUGUAGCUAUUACACAGACAAAUGAUGCGCGGCCGCUUCAGGCUCAGAUGAUGCUUUAUCAUAGGGCAACAAACUUUCUCACAUGAUCCAAGUAAGAUGGAUUCAGCCUCAAUGCUUUGUACAUCCAUUCCCUGUCUAUGACCCUGAAAACCUUGCACACACACAGCGAAAAAGGCAUAUAAGCAUAGUAUUAAAAAAUGCAGUCAGGUAGCUCUAGAUCUGCUUUCUCUCUCCUCCAUAUAGAUCUAGAUCUAGAGAAAAAGCACCCAAAUGAUGAAAAAGAUAGAAGAAUAAGGAUUGGAGACCGAUUAGCUAACUCUUGGGUGCCCCCUUCUACAAUCCAAGGGAAAAACUUCUUAAUUUUUGGGGUUUUGGAGCUCAAAACUCGCAGAAGUGGAGAAGCUGGAGAAAGAAGGGUGGGUGCGGCUGUAUUUAUAGCUCAGGCUUAAUCGAGGCGGACACCAUAAGACAACCACCUUGGUUAAUUGUAUGUUAAUCGAGGUGGUUGCCUUCAACCAAAUGCCUCAGUUAAUUAAUUAACUGAGACGGGCUAUCUAAGACAACUUCCUCAUUUAAUAUAGAUUAACUGAGGCGAUUGCUGUUAAUAAGCAUUAACCGAGGCAGCUCUGUUACGUUGCUCGUCUUGAUUAAGCAAUAAGUGAGGCGGUUGCUGGGCCGGCUGCCCUGCCACGAAUAACCAAGACGGGCAACCGGCCUAACUGCCUCAGAGCCCUUUUUCCAAAGUCCUCGGUUAAGUUUUUGCUUUUUCCAAAGUCCUCGGUUAAGUUUUUGCUUUUUCCAAAGUCCUCGGUUAAGUUUUUGUAUAGUAGCGUAUGGCAGACAGUUUUGAGAAAAACAAAGAUGUAUAGCAGCCCACAAGUUUUUUUGGCAUGUUUGUAUGCAGCUGUUGUGAACUUAUGACUUUGUGCGAAAUAUUCCGUUCCUCAUACAGUCAUACAUAUUUUGUUCAUACAUGCUGCUCUAUCUUGCAUCAACCAAGAGCGACGACAGAUCAAUGAACAGGCAGCUGGUGGACACUGCCCGCGACUACGGAUGAUGUGGAGGAGGAUUCUAGGACACAGCAGCAGGUUGGGAAGCCCCACAUGUACCUGCAUGCCCCAAGAUUACUGCCACCCGUCACAGCACACAUUCCCGUGCAAAUUUCUUGCCUGCAGACAACAACUCUGUUGCAGAUCUCCCCUGACACCGACGCCGCCGCGAGGAGAGCCAUCACCAGCGUCGCCGCCAAAACGAGAUCCUUCUUCUUGCAGCAGGACACGAGGAACGCCAUCUUGCGUAGAGGAGGCUAAAAAAUGUUUCUUGUUGAAUGAUCGAUGCUCUUUCGUCUUGCUUGUGCUCAUUUAUAUGGUACAAAUACCAUAUAUUUAAGUGCAUUGAUUGGCUGCUAAUAUGUCGUACAAUGUGAUUGAUUUCUCACAGAUAUUGAUCGUAGUGACAAGAUUUUAGGGUUCCCAGAAUAGUUAUCCUGACACGUCCAGAAUAAUUUAGCUCCAUAAGGCUAGCUAAGCUUUUGAUUAUCACCAUAAUAUAGCUUUAUAAUUGUAUUUAAUUAAAUCAAUUAAGUUCUAGGCCCAUAUUUAAUACCAUAGUGCAAUAUAUAUAUAUUUUUAGUUGUAUAUGAGAUUUUGAAGAUAUGUUGACUCAACUUAAAUACGUGGACAAUGUGUGUUCCUAUUGAGAAGUUGAGGGAGGCUAAGAGUAUGCGACAUGCGCACGCACACCGCUGCUAAGCGUGAUGGGCUCGAGCCACACCACUUCAUGACAUGAUGUGGUGUGGGCCGAGCUUGGAUUUGCCACUCGACAUGACUGAUAAGAGGCAUUAUGUUGAUUGAUACCGUUGUUGCACGGAGUAAUUGCGAGAGGUGGAGAGUUUCUAUCCGUAACUUUCCACACUCCACAGACUGAUGGAGGCAUUACUAGGAUUGAUACCAUUGUCGGUUUCACCGAGUAAUCAUCCACACUCGGCUGAUUCAUGGAGGCAUUACUAGGAUUGAUACCAUUGUCGGUUUCACGAAGUAAUCGUGAGCCCGGCGAUUUCGCCAAUCCAGUUUCAUCUUCUCGACGAUCCGACUUCUAACCGCUCACGUAUAAGGACGUCAGAGCAUUGCGCAUAUGAGAAUACUACACCCGUACCCUCCUUUUCUCUGUAGAGCUGUUCUAGUUCUCCCCAUUUCAAUCUCCUGCACGCACAGAAGGUUGGAAGAGCAUGCCUCCGGAACUACAUCUGUAUCUAUGACACCUGCUCGGGUGUCCACAACAUAUUCGUAUGCAGCUGUUAUGACUUAUGACUUUAGUCGAAAUAGUCCAUUCCUCAUACAAUCACACGCAUUGAUACAUUUUGUUCAUAUUAAAAGAAAUAACCAGCUGCUGCUGCUCAAUAUUGCAUCAAAUAAGCGACGACGACAGAUCAAUGGACACUGCCGACGAUGGAUGUGGAUCCCGAUUCUAGGACGCAGCAGCAUGUUGGAAUGCCACUAAUGUACCUGCAUACCCCAAGAUUACUUCCUCCCGUCACGGCACACAUUCCCGUGCAAAUCUCUUGCCUGCAGACAUCAACUCUGUUGCAGAUGUCUGCUGACACAGAUGCCACUGCGAGGAGAGCCAUCACCAGCGUCGCAGCGAAAAUGGGAGCCUUCUUGUUGGAGAGGACACCAGGAGCGCCAUGGAGCCGACCUUUUUUUUUGUAGAGACGAGAGUAGAGACUAGUGAUGAUUGAUGAUCUUUAGUGUUUCUAGUGCUUGCUUAUAUAGACUGAAGCCACGAGCAAAUUAGUCUUGCGAGAUCAAUUCCAGUUUUUUUUUUUCCUAAAUUUAAGCUUCCGUUCUUGAUGAUAUAUUUAUAUAUAUGUUCCUAGUGCAUGCUUGAUUCACCAAUCUCGAAAUCAAAUCUUUAUGGUACAUAAACCUUAUAUAUUUAGGUGCAUUGAUUGUCUGCUAAUAUGUCAUAAAAAAAUUGAUCCUCACAGAUAUUGAUCGUACUGACGACAAGAUUUUAGGGGUUCCUUCACGGAUACUUAUCCUGACACGUCCAGAAUUAUUUAGCUCCAUGAGGCUAGCUAGCAGCUUUCGGGUACCAGCUAUGCAAAUUAUUCAUACGAAUCAAUUCCUGGUAUUUAUCUUUCUCUUCUUUAUUCUAUCUUUUAAUACUAUAAUAGCAAACAUUUAUGUGAGUGGCAACAAAAUUUACAUCUCGAGUCGUUUGUCCUGAUACGUUUUGAAAUCAGACUCUACCAUGAUUUAGACGCGUGUUAUUCUAAUUCGUAUGAGUCGUAGUAAGUUUAGGUCACAAGCGGAACAAUAAACUAAUUAGGAUAAUUAAUCUCUUAUUCAUCAACUCUUAGUAAAACCGGCUAGAUUUUUUAUGCUCCGAAGAAUGGAUGGACACGUGGAGUGAGACAGAGUGUGAUCAACCAAAAUUUAGAGUAUUUUUAGUAUUAGGUACAGAUCUUAACAAAUUAUAAGUCGUUAUGUAUUUCGAUGUGAUGCAUAUCCAGUAUAUAACAAAUAUGUAUGUACCUAGAAAAGCCAGAUCGACAUAAAUUUUGAAACAAAAGAGUAGAGUCAUUUUCAGAGGUCUCGGACGUCUUAAUAUGUUCUGUUAAUAAUUGAUUAAGAGAUACGUAUCCUAAGAUGACUGCUUUGGUGAACAGUUACUCUCUACAUUCUAAAUAAUAAAAUGUUUUGGCUUUUCUAGAUACAUUCACUUUGCAAUGCACUUAGAUAUAUAUAGAUAUAUAUAGUAAAAAUAAUGUAUCUAAAAAGCCAAAAUGACUUAUAAUUUAAUACAAAGAGAGUAAUAGAUAUGGUCUGCUUAGGAUAACCGUCUCUAUAUCGUUGCUUGUAUGAGGUGGUACAUGUACUGAGAUUACUCGAGAAACUCCUAUAUUUCAGUCUAUAAUAGGUGCGCGUACGUCACGUAAAAACAAAUGUUGGAAAUAAAUCCACUAUACAAACUGGCUUUUACUAGUUCCAACCAUGAUAUCAAAUGGUUUCAGGGUGCAUUUGCUCGAGGACGAAGUUAGAUGGGAUAUAGCGAUCGAUCCAUAGAUAUUGGAAGAAAAAUAUCCAUAAUGCAUGUUUGGUUAGAUGGGUGGUACGAGCCAUAAUUUUUUGUUUGGUUCGAUGGAUGAAAAGUAGAUAGGGCUAGAAUAAUUGACUAAUUAUAUCUAUUAUUUAGAAAUAAUAACAACUAAUUAGACACUAAUAAAUAUGCACUAAUACUAAUUUUGGUAGGAUAAUCACUAAUUUAAACUAAAAAUGUUAAUUAGCACAACUAAUAACCUAAUGAGCACACAUAAAAUACACUAAUCAAUAUAUUAGUACUUAUAAAAACUAAUCUUACCAUCAUGAGAAUCUCCAACAGUUUGGUAAAUUUCGGUUUGUAAGAGCAUCUCCAACAGUUUGCUAAAAUUCACUUAGCAAAUAUUGUGAUUUGUCAACUCCCUAAAAUAUAUGGCAAGUGAAAAAACGGACUCUCUCCAAUAGUUUGCUAUUUUAACUUAGUAAACUUUUAAAAAAUAGGCCCACAACCUACUGUUCCCAACUUAAAGAACCUGCAUAUUAUCUAGAUUUAUAUUUCAUUCAGUUUUUAGUAGAAUAAAUGUCCACAAUGUUUAUUGUCUUAUGAAAAUUUUGAUUUGCAUUCAGAAACAUGAAACAAGGAGCAUCCGCAUUCAUAAAUAGGCAGCAAAAUCAGUGCAUCCGCGUCAGGAACAAAGCAGAAACUGCCGGCCACCAGCAGCAUCAGCACACCUGACAACGGCGAGGCGUGGUGCAUCACCUGACAGCCGACAGCAACAUCACAAGGGCGGCAAGGUGCUGUGCAUCAACUGACACCUGACAGCAGUACCGACGGUGAGACGCCUGCAGCUCGCGAUGCGAAGUGAGAUACGCGCGCGUAAAGAUGCGCGCGCGGAGGGGUGGAAUACCAAGUUGUUAAAAAUAGCAACCUCAUUUAGCAAACUGUUGGAGAUAAAAUUUUAUUGUUUUACCAAAUUUUUAAAGAUGGCAACCUUAUUUGGCAAACUGUUGGAGAUGCUCUAAAUCAUGGUGUUUGCCAACUUCAAAAAUAAUUUAUAGAGGGAAUAAAGAGCUCAUCUCCAACACUUUGCACUCGCAACAGCCAGCAUUUCGUAGCAUGGCGUCCAUUCGCAAGUAGUACAACGUCCAUUUAGUAGCACUAAUAGCAGCUAGAAUACGCUUGAUGCGCGCUCGAUGAAUCGCGCAUAUAUGCACGUAAAGGAGAGAUGCUAAAGAUACCAAAUCCAGAUGUCAAAUUAUUAGAGAACGUUUUUUCUCUUUUUCCUAAAAAUUUAAGGAUACCAAAUACAGAUGCAAAACUGUUGGAGAUGCUCUAAGUAACAAUAUAACAGACUAAUAAUUCUUAAUUAAUUUAUUAAUAUUAAAGAUUAAAAGACAGAGCGUGGGCACACGCACGGCCAGGACCUGCAGCCUAUUUAUCCUUAUUUAUACCAUCAAACAGUUUCCUCCAUCCGAAGGCCAGCCUGCAACUUACAAGAACAGGAGUGCCAAUGCAGAAAAAAGAAGAGUAUCGGAGCAACAUAUACACACAAAAGAAUCCAUCGAGCCAAUGGGGUUUUUUAAAGACACAGAGUCACUAGUCCAGAAUAGACUUUCCGUGUGUGGAUAAAGUCGGGCUCAAGACUUAAGAAUUAGUUCUGGAUAUAGCCACUAACCAAGACUAAACUCCUCGGCCCAAUGGCUAACCCUGCAGGCUUUUGCAAGUGGAGGGAUCUUUAGUCCUGAUUGAUGGCUUCAACCUAGACUAAAGGUCACCUUUUAGUGCUAGUUGGAGCAAUCAACUAGGAUUAAAGGUUUCAUUGCUCUUUUAUUUCGGUUGAUGGGUCCAACCAGAACUAGUGGAUGACCUUUAGAAGAAGAUCUUCAAUCCUCUGUGCAUUGUAUUUUCUAGAGGUUAGCAACUUCAUCUUUUAAUCUUUUAUUGUUAAUAAUAUAGCUCAUUUCAUGGUUUAGAAAUAAAUAGGGAAACUUGUGGUUUUUUAGAUUAGGAAUAAUAUUUGUGGUUUCAUGGCAGAAAUAAAUAGAGAAAUUUCAUGGUUCUAGUUGAUCAUCAGAUCUAUAACUGUGGACAUAGAAAAAAAAAAGAGUGACAGCAAAAUGCAAAGGGUGUGGGAAUAAGGUAAUUAUCACAGAUCUACAAUGUAACAAAGAGAAAUCUAAACUGUAUCAGAAGAAGACACUAAACUUAGCUGUUCGUUGCCAGCAAUUUUAGAAAUAGCAUGACAACAAGCGUAAGGAGGAAGAGGAUCGAUAAACAUCACGUCUUUCAGGCCUGUGAAAUGGUCAGGUUUCUUAUUAGCCAGAGGAUUGCCCAAGGAUACAGUACUUGACUUGCAUUUAGCGAGCUCAAAGUAGAUUGCCCGGGUCGCAACAAUAUUCCUUGCAAUGAAAAAGACAAAUUCAAACAAAAAGAAAAGCAGAAAAACAAUGACAUUUAUAGAGAAUCAAAUAAGCUACAGAAAAACAAUGACAUUUAUAGAGAAUCAAAUAAACUAGCACACGAAAAGAGAAUUCAGGUGGCUUGGUCCAGUGGGAUAGUCUGUAGAAAUCAAUAUGUCAAUGUAAAUAGACAAGUAAUUUUGUUUGCUGAGCUUGAAUAUUCCCUAUUCGUGACAACCAUCACUGUCAGAUAGUCAAAUUUGAUUAACUUAACAGCUAGUCCACGACAAAUAUCAACAGAUUAAGCAAAUAUUUCAUUUUCAGCUCAAGUAACGGGUCAGCAACCACACACACCAGACACUAGUCACCCAAUAAAAAACUUUUAGCUCAGUAACGAAAACAGAGGAUGAGUUUUCGACUGUUAAAGAUUAACUUCAUCUUAUGAUGAGGUAAAACUAUAACAAUGAAAGCACAGCUCGUGCUCUUGUACUUCUUUUUGCUUUCAAGGAAUAAAUGAAAAAAGAAAGGUGGGGGGGUUUUUUCCCCACUGUUCCCUCAAAAAAAACUAUAACAAUGAAGUACAUGGAAGAUUCAGGUACAUCCGUGUAGUAUAAGCUAAUGGGCUUAAUUUCAUUCUAACACCAUGAACAUAGAUGUAUCUAACACACAUACUAUAGCUAAUUCAGAGGUAUCACUAUCACAGAAAUAUAUAAUAACAGUAAUCCUAGAAUAGAAGAACACGAUUAACAAGAACGUGAAACCUGAAAAAUGUCUGAACUGAUCAAGGAGGUAGACUGUCCAUACAUCAAAUCUUUACAAAUGGAACACCCUGCCUGAACUCGAGAAACACCAUGACGUACAGCUGAAGGAAUCUAUCCUCCAACCAUCAUGCCUGUCAGUUGAGUUCUGUGAGCUGUUCAUCUGAGGAACCAACGGCAGAUUAGGCAGCAAUGCAUCUCGCCUAGGUAGGACAUGACAAACCCACAGAUGAACAGGGCCUCAGCAAGGAGGAAUCCUAUCGAGAUGGAGGCCCCAGACCUGUGCUCGCGGGCCCGCGAGCAGAGAAACACCACCUGCAGCUAGAGCUCGCGCCUGGAAGAAAUGGAGAGCAGGAGAGGGCGACCUCGGCAGUGGCUGGAGGGAUCUGGGUGGUUCUUGUUGGAAAACGGCCUCCUGUGGUCUGAUGCAAAGGACGGGUGGACAAGAAUGGGAGAUGGUGAGGUUGAGGAUAAGAAGAAACUUAACUGCAUGCCGUCUCGUGAGUCGUGAUUGGCUUUUCUCAACACCGUUUGGUAACUUUUUUUUUUUCUUUGCUUACGCCCUAUUUAGUUCUCACUCAAAAACAUUUUAUCCCAUCACAUGAGAUAUUUAGACACAUGCAUAAAUCAUUAAAUAUAGAUUAAAAAAUAACUAAUUGCACAGUUUGCAUGUAUUUUACGAGACGGAUCUUUUAAAUUUAAUUAGUCUAUGAUUGGGUAUUGACUGCUGAUAUGGUUACAAUGUGAUAAAAUACCUAAAAACUUUUUUUCCAUGAACAGUACCCAAAAAAUAGUCAUCUUUACCACCAACGACCCUUCUGAAACAACCUUCUUUUUCCAACAAAAAAGGUGUGUUUUGUACGAGUAGUUCUCUAUUUAUAUAUAACAAAAAUUCUCGCCCCAUCCAAAUUACAAGUCAUUUUGACUUUUCUAGGUAUAUAUAGAGUAAUUUAACAUACACCCAGAUAUGCAUUAUAUUUAGAUAGAUAAAAUAUAUUUAAACACUUACUAGAGGGGUCCACAAGAGAGGGAUUUGGUAGUCUAUUCAAGGAAGAGAGAAACAAAAAUUGCAUGUAAUGACUAAUAGGAGGAGAUCACCUAUAUAAGGGAUAAAAGACAAGUAAUUUGUUGGAAGUGCUCUACUCCCUACAUAGAAUGCAGCCAUUUCUUGAUAUAAUUUGCCAAGUCCAAUCAGACAUGUCACCCUUCUUUUCCCAAUCAUAAUGCUACCUGAUGUCAUGUUAAAUCUUUGAACGUAUUAACACAGUGGGAUGCCAACGGAUUAUGCUAGGACUAAGAGCAGGUCAUGUUACCAGGUUCGAUGCUGAACCAAAAUAUAUGUCGUAAUAAAGGCACAUUAAUUACUUGGUGCAAAUUGUUAAAUAAACCCUCAUGAUCACUUAGCGAAAGAAAUGACAGUGAAAUGAUGUGCCAGAUCCAACUACAUAUUUAAAGUUCUGAACUUGUGCUGCCAGUUUUUACACAUCUUAUCGACUUGCAAUUAUAGCCAAAUAGCACAUAUAAUUAUGAUAGUCAUCUCUUCAUCUACUAAUAUGUAUUUAGCUAUGUUCAUAUUGAUGUGUCAAACCAUUCAACAAAAUUAAUUUAAGAUAGUUUCAUUCAUAUAACUAUAAUAUAAAUAGUCUAAUUUAUUUUAAAUUAUCUGAAAUUCCCGCAGCAACGCGCAGGUUAUUCUCCUAGUUCAUAUAACUAUAGGUCUAACUGACAGCAUACAACAUGCCCAGUUAGGUGCACUAGAGAUGGCAACCUUGUUGCAGUGAACUUUAGUCUUGAAUUUCCUAACGACGAAGGAUAGUAGAUCCCUAGACAGCCCGAAUUUCCUAGAGCCUCAUAUCAGAAAGUGAAACCUGUACAACAAAAAGAGGUGCAGUAACUUUAGAGAUGAUUGUUAUUUAGAGCAACAUAAAGUUCAUUGCAGGAACAUGCUUCCUUGCUAGGAAAUUCACUAGACCAAGGUUCAGCAUAAUGUGACUGACAUGUUCAGUCAACCCUACAAUGAUUAGUUCUUUGGACAUAGUUCUCUUGCCAUCUUACACUACAAAAAUUUCAACUUCAAACUGCAAUACAUCAAACUACCCUUUUGAGAACAAUGCAGAGCACACACAGAAAGCUUGAACUUUGCGAAGAGAACAUUUGAGUGUGUUCGUUUAGGUCCAAGACAACUGAUGAUGGGAAAAGGGAAUAAAAAGCACCUGGACAUGGGUUAUUCUCACAUCUCUGCAAACUGUACCACAUGGAAAUAAGAACUGACAAAUCAAAACAGGAACAUAUGGGAAUAGUUUAUUGGAUACUGGACAGUCAUGCAUGAACGAGUUCGUAUAUAGACUGGCUACAGCAUGAGUGGUGCCGAAAAGAAUCUCCGUACCCCGUUCAUGCUGAUGCCCAGAAACUAUCAAUUACAACAUUCUACAUCGAUGCUUCAGUGGAUGUGGGAACAAAUUGUCAGAAAUUACAGCCAUUCCCUUCCCUGCCUUCCUAAUCCAUCAGUUGAGAAAUAAUUGUUUAUUUGUACAGCACCAAAUCAAGAGCACUACUCGACUCUUGCAUUUUUUACUUCAGCAUCGGUUCACACAAUGGCAUGACUCGAUGCUUCAACACUUUUCUUUUAGCAUCAGUAAAAAGCAAAUGUUGUGGCUAGUCAUAGAAUUGAGUGAAAGAUGACUCAGUCAAUAGGGGACCUAACUGAGAUCAGGUCUAAGGUGCCUUAAAGAAAAAGGGAAGGCCACAAAACAAUAAAUCAACAUAGUUGUUAUUGCUUAAAGCAAUGAAAUGCUGAUAUUUAUGGUAUUAUUCAGAAGUAACGAGCAAGCCAAAUAUGGGUAGCUCGGUCGUUUUGCGUCCAAUCCAAACUAAUCAACAGGUCAAAGGGUGUUCAUUUGUCAAUAAUUUUGUAGUGAACUUUCAGGUAGAAUCACAAGGAAAGUUGCAAGUUAGCUUACUUAUGUUAAAGGUGCACAGGAACUUCAGAACUUUGAGAACUCUCUGAUCAACAACUUGACACUUGACUUCAACGAUGUUAAGGUUUUCUGAAAUUUUAGCUGAUCUCUCCAUCAGAUUGCACCUUCCUUUCAUUUCCACUUCAUACUUAGGCCCCUGCAGUGAAAUAAAUCAUUUUUUUCCUAGUAUCAAGAAGCAGUGUAUGUGUGCAACAAUUUUCAUAUAUAUGCAGAAACUUCCCAUUAGUGUACCUCAGAAAAGAGUUCAAGUGUAAGCUUCGCAAGAAAUGGUGAGUGUUCAAGAAUACAAGCUAAUGCACUGAAAUCAUCAGGUGUACACCAGUAGUCAUCGAGCAACAAGGUCUUUAAAUUGCUAAACAUAGGGCACCAUCUCAAAUCACUUUCGAAAAUAAUCUGGAAAAAUGCAACUAACAGGUCAGACGAAAUAAUUCUCACAGUACACAAAUACAUGCAAACUAGCAUCUACCCAUGUUGAGUAAUGAUUUAGAUAAUUGAGGAAAUAAUGGGAUGACAUUAAGAGUUAUAAUGUGACUGAAGCAAAGUUUGUCUAUACCUUCUCGGGUACAGAAAUCAACACCAAACUCUGAGCUUUAGAUAAACCUUUUAAAAGCAUAAUAGAACUACCCUGGCUGCUAUCAGAACCGUCACACAACAGGCAAGCACAAUCCAAAUAGUCUGGUCUACUACAGCCAUCCCAGCAAUGCGUGGUUAUUCGGACAAAUGCCUUCACUAAUGAUGGCAUGCUGUCAAAUAUGGGAGUCCUCCCAAAAAAGGAAUCUAGAUGCAGUGAGACCAGGCUUGGGGUAGAAAUGUAAAUGCGGGGUUCAUCUAGUAAAACACAAUCAGUCAAGCUCAGAUGCUUUAGGGACUUGGAAGCGAUCUUGUCAGCCGAAGCGAGAUUACAGUAAACCAGCUCAAGAUGUUCCAAGGCCGGACAGCUGGCGAAGCUGAGAAAACUAUUCUGGAGCUUUACAGAGGAAAGGUCUAGCUUCGUCAGGUGUUGAGAAACGAGAGGCAGGUCGUCUAGCUUAAGAAACUUGUUGAAAAACAAAUGGAGCCUGAGGCUGAGCACCCGAGCUCUUGACAUCACGACAUGACGGAACCAGAGAUUCACCCGUGGCACAUCGUCGUCCUCUAAUUCACUGAACCCAAACUCACAUAUGUCCAGAGGCAAACUUCCACGGAGGAGGAGCAGAUGGUCCACAAACUCCCGCUGCUCCUUCACCCGUCUCCCUUCAUCCUCACUGCUGCAGCAACCGAUGCGCAGGCCAGUUGCGGUCCUCCAGAGGUGGCGCCAGCGCCGAGCGAGAACACAAGUCUGCACGGCCUCCGGCGCUGGGAGGAAGCCGAGGAUGUGCCCAAGUACGCCGUCAGGCAAGGCGUCGAUGCAGCCUCCGCUGCCGAGCGCUGAAGGCACAGAUCUCUUGCUACUUUCCCCUGGAUGCAUUGUGUCGAGCAGGUGUCGGGCGCGUCGAAGAUACUGGACCAAGAAACACUCAGAUCAUCACCAGAGAAUGCGAGAGGGAGUGGGGGAGAGGAAGACGGAUGACGGAGGCCAGUGGCGGACUCGUGAAGGCGGAGCUGGCGACCGUGUGCUGCGACGGGCCCAGGCAGGGGCGCAGCCGCGGGGCGGGGGCGGCGGGACACUGCCGGCAGCCGGCCGCCUUAGGGUUCCCAGCGGCUGAUGUUUUUUCUUUUUCCUCGAUGGAUUUUUUUUUUAUGCGGGGCCGAUGGAGACGAGAAAUUUUACUUACCUGUUAUUAUAAAAAUUGAUAAUUUUCAUUGUUAAAAGUACUAUCACUCUAAACUCUUUUACUCUUUUAUGUCACUUCUGUUAUAUUUAUCUCUAACAGUAUCAAAUUGCGAGUAUGAAAAGUCAAAAAUAUCUUGAGGUCUAAAUAUGUAAUUAUUUCUUUUGAGCAUUUUAUUGACCUUAAAUGAAAAGACUCAGAACUAGAAAGUUGUAUAUCUCGACAAAAUCUAUAACUUUUAUAUAAAAAUUAUCUUCAUUGAAUUUCGUAAAAAAUAUAAUUUGAUAUCAUUAAUAUGUCUUAGAAAAAUCAUACUUUUAAUACGGAAUCAAAUAAAAAUACUUUUUAUUAAUAAGAUCUACAACUUUUUAGUUUUGAGUUUUUUUCAUUUAAGAUUAUUAAGAUGCUCAAAACGAAUUAAUUGUAUAUUUAAAUAUGAGGUUAUUUUUGACUUUUUAUACCUACAAUUUAACAUGGUUAGAGCCAAAUUUGACGGAAGUGGCGUAGAGAGCAAAAAAGCUUAGAGCAGAGACACCUAUGAGAACUCAACUUUUUUAAUGACUUGUGGUAACUACCAACUUUUAUAAUGUCAUACAUGUAAAAGCCUCAAAAUUUUGAAAUUUAAUCUGUAUUCAUACGUCUCUUAACCUCAAAUAUAUAGAUCUUGUGAAAUAUAACCUACCGUAUGUAAAAUAUUUUAAUAUUUAAAUUUUUUAAGUUUUUCUUAAUUUUCGCCUUGUUUAGUUUCAAAAGUUUUUGCAAAAUGGACACUAUAGCAUUAUCGUUUGUAUUUGACAAAUAUUGUCCAAUCAUGUAUGACAAAUAUUGACAAAAUGGACAUUAGACUCAAAAGAUUUGUCUCGCAAAUUACAGGUAAACUGUGCAAUUAAUUAUUUUUAUCUAUAUUUAAUAUUUCAUGCAUGUGCCGCAAGAUUCGAUGUGACGUAGAAUGUGAAAAAUUUUACAAAAUUUUUUGGAAAUAAACAAGGCCUUUAUUUAGUAAUUUCUUGAAUCUCUCUUCAUGGUUUAGGGCUUUAGGCUACCAAAAAGACGAUGUUGCCCCUUUUAGCGGUCAGAUGGCAGCACGCUCGCCCAGGUCGACGGUUCCGUUCCCAGCUGGUCGGUAUGCUCUCCCAGGCUCGGCUCCCUGUAGCGUCCUCAGCCAAUCCUUGCUAUUAGUUUUCAUACUUCCCAAGAGUCAAAUUUUACGCAGAUCUAAUAUUUAUACUUAUAAAAUAAAAAUAAGCAACAUCCAUAUGGUCAGGAGAAAACACGCUCUUUUAUAAUAAUAAGAAAAAAAAAGCAAUAAUCGCAACUCCAAUCAAGAUCAAUACACAAACUAGCUUAUACAUAUACACAUACAUACGGUACACGUCAAAUUAGUACUACUACUACUACUAGUACCUUUUUUUAGCACUAUCAAUUACUAUAUUGAAGUAUAUGCUUGAGCAAAAAAAGUCUCAAAAAAAAAAACAUCGGCCUAAUGCAAACGGGAACUCUCGACUCUGCGAGUCACGACGGGGAAGGAGAGACCGGCAGCAACGUUUGAAAUGACAGACUCUGGGUCAGGAUCAUCUUUUCUGGUAGCCCAAACGGUAAGAAGAAACCCCAGAAAUUAUAAAAGAGAGAAAAACUCGAAAAUCCUAGCUAUCAAAAUAACUCGCGUACCCAGAGUUAAAUUUCAGAAGACCUGUGAAUUCAGAGUUAAAUGUUGAGAGGCACACGAAUGUAGGGUUAAAUAUAUAUCGAGAAUGGGGAAUACGAAUUGGGAAAGGCCAGAUGGACCUUCGGGUGUUUGAUAUGGGCUUGGAUGCGGGCUGCUUUGCAUUUGGAACAAAUCAAAGCCACAAACUAAUAAUUUGAGUUUAUUAUUAUAUUAUAUUUACUUCCGUCCUAAAUUUUAAGUAAAUUCAACUUUUGUGAGUUAGGACAUCUGAUCAAAUUUAUAGAAUAAAAUAAUAAUAUUUAUGGUAUCAAAUAAGUAUGACUAGAAAAGACACGCGGCGUUGUCGCGUUGGCUAGUAUGAGACCAUUUAGGCAUUGCCACAUAGGUUAGUAUGAGACCAUUUAGUAUAAUAAAUUUAACUAAUUGAUAAUUUAUUUGAAUAUAACUUAGGUACAAGUAUUGGUUCGCUUACUGUGUUUCCGAAAAAGUCCCAUGUCAAAAGAAGUGGUCAUUCCAAUAGAUUGCAGCUGAUUAUAUAUCAUAUAUAUGCAACAAUUCUCAGUAUUGAACUCUGAGUGACAAAAUUAUUCUCGAAUGGGAGCAUAUAACAAAGAUGCGAUAAUUAUAUAAUUUUAUAAACUGAGCUACGCUCACCUAGUUAGGUUCGGUGAACUUAUUGUGCCAGAGUUUGUUAAUUAUGUCCUUUUUUGCACUGUAUUAUUAUUACAUUUGGCGAUAGACUGGUAUUUCAUACGUGGGGUAAUAUUUUGUGUAGGCGAAUGCAUAUUGUUUUAGAUCGUAAAGCCGGUAAAAUCACUCAAUCAUUUUAUAUUAUGCAUGGUAGGGGUGAGCUACCAUAAAAAUUUCAUACCAAUUACAAUAAAGAAACAAACUAUAUUAAUUAUUUACAUAAAACUCUAGAGAAAUCUACAUCCACAUUUAUAUCAAUAAAAUUACACUAAAACAUAUGAUUUUAUGUGUUUAUGGUGCAGUGCUAGUUGUGUAGAGUUCAACAAAUUUGGUUUGAUAUAUUUUUUUAUUUGUAUUUGUUUUAUGAUGACAUUUAUAAAAUUAGAUUCGGAGAAAAAUAAAAAACGGUGUCAGGAAGAAUUUGACCCACUAAGGCCUAGGUUCGAUGAUAUUACAGGCCCAAGCAGGAGGCAGGCCGGCCCAUAAAAGGGCUUGGAUUGCGGGUUGAUUUCAGUAAAGUUCAAGGACUUUUCUAAACAAAAACCUAGGAGGAGACGUGGACUGCGGGUUGAUUCUACUAAAUUGAAGGACUUUUUUGCAAAAAGACCAGCACUUGCACGAUCCAACCCAUCCACCUGGCCAAUCUGGUGGCUGAGAAAAGCGGGCGACGUGACCAUGCUGGCUGGCCUUCUUUUGGUGCAUUAAUCAUUUUUAGGAGAUUAUAUUAAUUAAUUAAUUAUAUUAUAUUUUCAUAGCAAACAUAUUUGAUGUCGUAAACCUUUGUAAUUAAACUUGGUGAUGUUUUGACUCUCUAGGAAAUUUAGACCAUAUUAUAAUUUGGAAUAUAGGGAGUACAUGUAGAGAUUACCACACUACACUAUAAGAAGAGCACAUUAUUAGAGAAUACGGAAGCAUCAACGAUCAUCUAGGUUGAACAUUAAAUUAAGUCUCCUUCAAUAACAUAGGAAGUGGCACCCUCAAACCUAACCAACAAACCUCAGAUGUUGAUUAAAACAUACAAACGACUCUACAACCAACUAGUAUGUACAAAAAAAAAAUGAUUGAAGCGUACAACAUGUGUGUAUGCUACUCCCAUCCUGCCAGGCAUCCCCGAAAAGUACAUGAGAUGGGGAAAACAAGCGUAUGUGGUUUAUAGAAAAAAUCUCAGCAAGCAAACUGCUUCAACCAAGUUAUUUAAAUCAUAGUUUGGUUAAGCAUGAAAUUUAAAUUGUAUAAUAAUAGAGAUAUCAAUUACUUCAUAGAAAUAUAAAUAUACUUCCUAAGUGCAAUGCAAAUGAUGCAAUGUAAUGCUUGACUUCACUUUUACCCACACGUCCCAAGGAGAGGAAGUGAGGGCUGCAACCAUAAUGCUCAUUAAUGUGCGUUGCUGCAACCACACUGCUUAUCAAAUGUGCGUUGUUGUACCAGUACUUAGUGCACCAAUUCGGCUACAAUUUCUUCAAGUGCAUAUCAAUAGAAAGUGCAAAUGCAAAUGUUGCAAUGUAUGCACUUCAUAUACUUCAUAAUUGAAAGGUAAUACCACAAAAUAUGAAAAAUAGUAUACUUCAAAGUAAGUAAAUAACUUAAUUUCUCAGAUGAUCUAGGAAUAGGUGCUUAGAGUCAGUGUGAUGGCAAUGGAGAAGAGUGUCCAGAUGGCCCUACAAGAUCAUUCGGGGGUUAUUUCAACAUUACUUUAAGGGCUAAAAUAUCAAGUUUUAUUGUUGAGAGUCAAUAAAUAUAAUUUGUUUGGCUAUUCUAAGUGAUUCUUUUUCUUGGUAAAGAAGAACUUAUCAUUGAUAAUUCUUGGGUUCACGAAUUUUUCUAUAACUUAAAUGAUUCAAUAAACCUUUUUGUUAUCCUUUUAGUUACUGAUUUUUUUGUUGGAUUUUGACGAACUAGUAAUAAUUUGUUGGGUCUACAAUAAUCUUGGAUGGGCUCCUAACAAGCUAAUUUUCACUAGUUUUGUUUGUAGUUUCCCGUGUAAUGCUAGACACCUGCUAGGAAUUUUAGAUUAUAUAGUGAACUCUUGAUAUAUACUCCCACUGUCCCUUUUAAUUGUCACCAUUGAUGUGCGUGCACAAGUUUGACUCGAUUUGUAAAAUAUGUGCAACAUUUGUAUCUCCAAAUAAAUUUGUUAAAAAAUUAGAUUCAAAGAUCUUUUUAAUGGUACUAAUUAUGUAUUAUAAAUAUUAAUAUUUUUUAAUAUAUAAUUGCCGGGAGUUAUUUUUUUGAGAAGCGCAAAAGCGACAAUUAAAAAGGGACGGAGGGAGUAUGUUACAAGGUUAUGGAGACUUUUUAAUAUGCAUUGUCAGCUAAGCUACCUUUAAAACCAUCCUAGGGUUUAUUUAGACGAAUUUCAAUAGUAGAGGUGUAGAAUUUGAUCAAGUUUAUAGAAAAUAGUAUCAAUAUUUGUAUCUACAAAUAGUGGCGGGUCCAGAAAUAGUACAAUUCUAGGUUUUGAACGAGUCAAAUUUUCCAUAAUUUGAUCAUGUUUAUAUAAAAAAUAUCAAUGUCUACAAAUAGUGAUGGAUCCAAAAAUGAAAGAGGCUGAAUAGUAGGAUGCUAGAAAUUUACUAGUCAUACACUAAAACAUAUAACAUAUAUAAUAAAGAACAUAAAGUAUGAUGUCAAGUCAUAAAACUCAAGCAAUACGUAGAACAUUGAGGAUAGAAAAAUACCAACUAAAAAGAAAAUAUUUUGAUAACUGAAAGAUUCAUAUUCCCUUCAUCCUAAAAAGGAUAUAACUAUAGGGAUUUGUACUAGUCAAUUUUGAUAACAGAUCGCAAAACAAUUUCACAUGAACUACGAGUGCAAAAGUGAGAUAUAACAUGUCUAUGUGUCCAUACCAACUUGAUUAUAAAAUUCUCCCCAAAUUACCGGCUAGACAAAAGACAGCAGCCUUGUCGCAGCAAACAUCAAGCUAGCAUUCACUACAUUGAGACAUGGCAGACCCACCAUCAAGGCAUCAAGCCAAAUUUUCUUGCACGUCAGAUCAAAACCUGAAACCUACAGAGAAAAGAAGACAAACAAGUUCAGAAUUGGAUGAACAUGAUUUCCAAACACAAAAGUGUUAGAAUUAUCAAAAGAUCACUUGAGGGUAUUAAUUCAGAUGAAAAUGGCUACCUGGAGAAUGUUGGAACAGCCACUAGAGAGGAGAGAGAGAGCGCCCCUGCUGGCGAUGGCGGACUCCGCCCCCGCCGUCCCGUUGCAGCCCCAGAUCCUCCGCCGCGGCGAGCCCAUCCCGCAGAUCCAUCCUAUCCCCGUCGCCCUCCACACCUCCAAUGGUCCUCCGUACACAGAUGACUCUGCAAGCAGCCCCGACAUGGGAGAUCGAAGCGCGCCCCAGUUUGAGACCCCGCCGCCGCCGCCGCCGUUCCACACGCGUCGGUCCGAGCUGGAUGACGACCUGGUGAUCCCAGCCACGUCGGAGGCUACCUUCUUGCAGACGGCUCAUCCCUCCUACGCGGACAUCGUCAAGCGACACAAGACUGAAGUUAAGGAAGCACACCUACCCCGGCGCCCAACGGCUCGCAUCCUCCAGUCCACCAUUACUACGCCGAAGGGGAGCACUUACUACGGGUGUGGCUCCGCUGACGAGCCGUCUCGUCGUCUCCGCACGGACGACGCGCCCCGAGGCCGCCAUGACGACCCGUCACCUCGCCGUGCGGCGCUGCAUCGGCAGCCUGCCCCUGGCGCCUUCAAUUCGACUGAAGCAGAGUGGUUCGAGGCCAGAGUGAAGCACUGGUGGCGCAAGCUGCGCCGCGGGUCAACUGAUGAAGCUCUGCGAUGCCGCAGAGCGUCAAAUCGCGCGUCGCGUCCACUUCAAGGCCGCCCGCCCGCUAAGUCUGCUGUUUCUUCACCGGCGCUCCGUGCCGCCUAAAAACAGCUGGAAAGUGUUUCAAGUGCCUCGCUUCUGACCACCGCGCUGCGUCCUGCCGAGACCCCGUCCGCUGCUUCCGCUGUCUUGGUCUGGGACACCGCGAGAGAGAUUGUAGGCGCCCCGGCACACAACGCCCAAGCAUACCUGCGCAGCGUGCCUGCAAGGAAGGCCUUCCCCCGCCGCCGCCGCUGCCGCUGCCGCCGCCGCCGCGCGCGGGCCAAGCUAUGGCGAUGCUUGGCGACCCGGAGACAAGGCCUGAUGAGGACGAAUGCCUCAUCCCAACCUCGUUCGCCACUGAGGCGAGCCGACGCGAGUGGGAGGACACCGGUGCUGUCUCCUGGGCCAUGUCUGGGCCUCCCAACACCGGCCCGAGGGAGGUCGAGGCGGCCAUCCGCGAUGAGUUCCGCCUGCGGCACGGCGAAGUGGUCGUCACCAACCACAGCCCCCAAGCGUUCCUCAUCAAGUUCCAGCAUCGGCAUCACUGCAGCAGGGCCCUGCAGCAGGGCUUCGCCAAGCGCCACGGCAUCGAAAUCCACUUCGUCAAGUGGCGCAGCCUCGCCAACUGCUUUGGUGUGUCUCUCCUCUUCCGUGUCAGGCUCUGCCUCGACGGCGUGCCCAGACAUGCCUGGGAUGAUGACAUUGUGGAGCGCAUCAUUGGGAGGCGCUGUGCUUUGGAGUCCAUCGACACCGACCUGCUGCACCCAGCUGAGACAAAAACCAUUGAUCUCUGGGCUUGGACAGCAAACCCAAGCCUCAUCCCCAAGAAAGUUUGGCUCACCUUCACCAACCGCGCCAAAGACGCCAAGCUUCAGUCAAUCCUGGUGACUGAGACGCCGCCUGAGCACUUGCAACAAGGCACCAAGCAUCCUGUCAUCAUCCACCUGGAUGAAAUACAUGACUACACUGCCUCCACCAUCGACGACAAAGGCAACAUCUCCCCAGGUAAAAGACGUCUCCCAAAAUGGCAUCUAGGUGUUGUUGAUGGAGAACAGGUUCCCGCCCGUGCUUUCGAGGAGUUCCCGCAUCACCCGCCGCCGCCCAGGCGCACUCACAAGGAGGGGCCGCUCACCAGGCGGCCUGACAACAGGUCCUCCAAGGGGACAAAGGGGCGCUACAACAACGACCACCCCGACUUCUACAUGGGUCGUGGCAAGCACCACGAGGACGACGACGACUACGACACCUCUGGCCGGGGUGGCCGUGAUGACCCUGGCAGGUUUAGCCGGGGUGAUCACAGCGGUGCUGGUGGUUACCGCGAACGCGACCGCUCCCCUCCACGUCGCCUCUGGGCACAUGGCAACAGGCAGGGAGGACGCCAGAGGGCUUCCAGCGCCCUCGAACAGGCUGUGGUGCAGCCAGCUGAGCUACAGGUGCCGGCCAAACUUCCCCAACUGAAUGUCUUGCAGGUGACUGAGGAGGCUGAGCUGCAACGCCUCUUCAGAGCCCAUGCCAUGGCCCUCCAAGGAGCUGUGCAGCGCAUCGUGGACCGUGCGGGUGGCCACCACGCUAGAGAGACGGCCUCCCUGCUGAAGUCACUCAUGUACGACUACAUCGACAAAGCCUCUGCGCUAGCUGGCGGGCUCGGGCUGAUCCAAGCCCCGCCGGAAGCUGCUACGCCGGGAAAUGAAGCCUGGUCCAAGUGGCCACCCCAGCCAGCUCCGACACACCAAGCUACUCACGCCACGGUACCCGUGCGUGACGUCUUCGGCCGCAUCCUCAGCACGCUACCACCGAAGGCAACAGUGGAAGACAACUCCAUUGCUGCGGUCGAGAAAGCACUGGCGCGCAUCGAGCUCUCUGCAAGGGAGAGCCCCACAAUUCAGGUGCCACAACCAACAUCUCCUUCUCACCUCUGCAAUUCAGAAUUAUCUCCAGAGCAGGGUCCCAGCGAUGUAGCUCUCCGUGAUCAAUUCAGCACCCAACCAUCACUCACCCCUGCUGCCACUACACAGGGUGACAGCAGCGGUGGCCAGCAGCUAACCAGCAGCGUCGUAGCACUCUUCAGCAAGCCGACGGAGCCGCUGCUCCAACAACCUCAGCACGCAGCUGCUGUCGUGCCAACACCGGCCUGUGCUGGGCCUAGGCGUCGCAGACGCCAACGUGCCUUCGAUAUGUCUGCGGUACGACGCAGUGCGCGCCUAGCCAACGCUAGACCCAUGUCCCAGAUGCAGCGUGCCCAGAAAAAUCUUUGCCGAAAACUUGGCCUACUGCAUGAUGACCUUGAACCUGUGGAAAAUGCUUUGCAGGAUUACAUCGCCAUGUUCAAUGGCCCGCUGCCGAUGGACACCAUCGCCGCACUGACGGAGAUAUUCAACCUGGACACUGAAGAGACGAAUGAUGCUGAUGAUGCGCUGCUUCGCAUGGUGGGUGAAGGAGUCGAAGAACUCCGUGACGCAGCCAUCCUCACUGCAGCGGCCUAACAAGCAUUACAGGCUGCACAAUUCGCGUCCAGACAUUUAAAUAUGUAUCAAGCUACCUUUUUUCAGAAUUUGUUCAAGUGCUUCGUACUUUCCGUCGUCGUCGUAGCUCGGGCGGUAUGCCUGUUUGCAAAUUUGUUGAGACGUCCUGAGUUAUGUAUGCCUAAGACUUUCUUCAGUAUGCAUCAACUUUGCUUCACAACCACCGGUGAUGCCUUCAGAGCUGCUUUGUUACUCCUGUAUGCCUGGAGUUGCAGAUCAGUCUUCAGUGAUCUGCCUCCAAUUAUGCAAUGUUCCUACAGGCUGCCUUUCAUGCGUACUUUACCCCUCCAUGGUUGCACAGAGUAUUGACCUUUUAUCCUGGAAUGUUAGAGGGCUAAACCAGCAAGCUAGAAGAGAUAUUGUUCACCAGAUAAUAGCUGCAACGUCAUGCAACAUUGCAUGCCUGCAAGAAACUAAACUGUCCCAAAUCUGUCAAUACGAUGCCUCAUAUCUUGGUGGCUAUCGCCUGCGUCAGUACGCUUAUAAGCCGGCAUCAGGGCCUUCUCAAACGCGGGGGGGCAUCAUCAUACUAUGGAGCGACUGCCGUGUAAGCUGCACUGACAUCACCAUUGGAGAAUUCCAUGUCUCCAUGAAUGUUCAACUGAAAGACUUGAACACCAGCUUCCUGCUUACUGUGGUAUAUGGGCCAUCACGUCGUCGUGCGGACAAGUUACGAUUCCUCGAUGAAUUAAAAGCACUAAAGCCAGCGCCUAGCACGCGGUGGCUCAUCACAGGCGACUUCAACCUCAUCUACAGAGCCGCUGAUAAAAACAAUAGGAACCUAAGCCCACGCCUAAUGCGCCAUUUUCGCGAGGCGCUAGAUGAGUGUGAUCUUGCUGAAAUUAGCCUGCAGAACCGAAAGUUCACUUGGAGCAAUGAGAGGCAUCAACCCACGAUGUCAAGGCUCGAUCAUUUUUUCUGUAACACAGAUUGGGACGCCACCUUUAGCACCCACACCCUGAACGCGUUGUCGACAUCACUCUCCGAUCAUUGCCCUCUUUUGUUAUCUGACCAAUCAGGACCUAGAACGCCUAGCUCAUUCAAGUUUGAAAACUUCUGGAUCAGACUCCCGGGCUUCAAAGACGUUGUCAAGAAUGCAUGGGAUACUACAUUGGAGCACCAUGAGCCGUUCCAUGUCCUGUACCACAAGCUGCGCUCUACCUCACAAGAGCUGAAAGCAUGGAGUAAGGAAAUUAUCUCUGAUGCCAAAAAACUUUUUUUCAUGGCGCAAGAGAUCAUCCUAAGGCUUGAUAUUGCCCAAGAAAAUAGGAAUCUCACGGCUGCUGAACUGUUGCUGCGGGCAAAGCUCAAAAAAAGAAUUUUGGGGCUAGCAGUGAUCGAAAGAGCUAGGUCCAAGCAGGCUUCGAGACUGUCGUCCAUCAAGCUGGGCGAUGCCAACACAAAAUUUUUCCACCGCAGAGUAAAUGCGAGAAGGAGGAAAAACUACAUCCAGAGGUUGAGGCAUGGCCAGGGUUGGGCGAUAAACCAUGACGACAAAGCCUCUAUAAUACAGGACCAUUUCUCGAACUUCAUGAGGCACCCUCCAGAACGGCAGCAGGACAUAAAUUGGGACGAGCUGAAUCUGCCAUCGCACGAUCUGAGCGGACUUGAUGCAGUGUUCACCGAAGAGGAGAUAAAGCUUGCUAUUCAACAAAUGCCAUUUGACAAAGCACCGGGGCCAGAUGGAUACACUGGUGCUUUUUUCAGAUCGUGCUGGGACAUCAUCAAGGUCGAUGUCGUCAAUGCGGCAAAUGCCUUCCAUUCACUGCGUACAAGUAGUCUUGCGCUCCUCAAUUCAGCCAACGUGGUGUUGAUCCCCAAAAAGGAUGGCGCUGAAGCUAUUACUGACUUCCGACCCAUUAGUUUAAUCCAUUCCUUCGCUAAAAUACUCGCCAAGGUUCUCGCACUACGGCUAGCACCCCAUAUGAGCUCCAUUGUCUCCCCAGCACAAAGUGCUUUCAUCAAAAGGCGAAGCAUCCACGACAAUUACAUGGCUGUCCGCAACGCGAUAAGACGCUACCAUAAUUCUAAGCUACCAACUAUAUUCCUUAAGCUCGACAUCACCAAAGCCUUCGAUUCAGUAAGAUGGGAAUAUCUCCUCACGCUGUUGGAUAAACUCGGUUUUCCUAGUCGAUGGCAAGACUGGAUCGCGGCGCUUCUAUUCACCUCGUCGACGAGGGUGCUAUUGAACGGCAUCCCAAACGCGCCUAUCAAGCAUGGCAGAGGGCUUCGUCAGAGCGAUCCGCUAUCACCUCUGUUGUUCGUCAUAGCAAUGGAUCCACUGCAGAAAUUGCUCGAUCUGGCAACCGAAAAAGGAUUUUUGUCUAGGCUAAGGGGAAGAACAACCCAACUUAGAGCUUCAAUGUAUGCUGAUGACACGGCCAUCUUCGUGAAGCCAACAAGGAAAGACAUCUUAGCUUUGGCUGAACUCCUAACAUUAUUUGGCGAGGCUUCAGGAUUGAAAACUAACUUCCAAAAAUCGACAUUAAUCCCUAUACGAUGUGAAGGAUUAAAUCUUAAUGAAAUCCUUGCUGGCUCACCGACGGAAAUUUCAUGCUUCCCAACUAAAUACCUAGGCCUGCCGUUAACACCUCAGCGACUAAGGCGAGUGGACUUCCAGCCUCUGGUAGACAAAACGGUCAGCAAACUCACUAUAUGGAAUGGGCGCCAAAUUAACCCGGCGGGUCGCUCGACCCUAGUUAAAGCUGUCCUUACUUCGCAAGCAGUCUACUUCCUCACGUCCCUCCGUGCGCCAAAAGGAAUAAUCAAGGACAUCGAUCGGCAGAGAAAGAGAUUCCUGUGGGCAGGUGCUGAAACGCUAACAGGAGGAAAGUGCAAGGUCAAUUGGCCGAGGUCAGCUAGACCCAAAUACUCUGGAGGCUUGGGCAUCCUCCACUUGGGGAAAUUCGCAAGGGCGCUAAGAUUGCGAUGGCUGUGGCGACAAUGGUCUCCAAAUUUUGAUGGUAGACUUGGGGAUGAGACCCCAUGCAACAAGACUGACAAGCUUCUCUUUGCGGCAUCCACGACAUUGACAAUAGGGGAUGGGGGAAAAGCGUUGUUCUGGACAAGUGCAUGGCUUGACGGCCAACGGCCUUGUGACGUUGCGCCACACCUAUUCUCCACUUCCAGAAGGAAGAACAGAACUCUGCAACAGGCACUCCGUGAUAAUAAUUGGAUUCGUGACAUCAACAUUCAGCAUCAAAGUUUCUCUGCCCAACACUUAGUUGAGUACACACACCUUUGGCAAGCAACCAGGCGCAUAACUCUAAGAACGGGCACGCCAGAUAGCCUUGCAUGGAAAUUUGAGGAAAAUGGCGAAUACACAGCAUCCUCUGCUUACCACGCCCAAUUUGUUGGUGCAACUAAAAACACCUUUGAGGCACUCAUUUGGAAACCUUGGGCGCCACCCAAAUGCAAAUUCUUUAGCUGGCUUGCGAUUCAGAAUCGAGUUUGGACUGCAGAUAGAUUGGAAGCUCGGAGAUGGCCAAACCAACGAACUUGCACUCUAUGUCGACUCCAUGUGGAGUCAGGCCUGCACCUGUUCAAGGACUGCAGGUUCACGAAGCGCCUGUGGAAGGGAAUCUCCACAUGGGCGCAAAACUCCUACCUGCACCCAAGUGCAUGGCCGCCAAGCAACACGACCGAGGAAUGGUGGAUGGCGAUAUCAAAUGCGCCGAGUACAAGUAGGAAAGGCCUACGUUCACUCAUUAUACUAGCUUGCUGGGAGAUCUGGAAGGAGAGAAAUGCGAGAGUGUUUGAGCACAGAGAGUCCGCCAAUUUUGUGGUACUUCAGAAAAUCAAAGAUGAGGCGAGGUUGUGGAUUUUGGCAGGAGCAAAGCACCUCUCUUCUUGCAUCCAACGACACCAUCUUCGUUCUGUACCCUAGUUUUUUGAGCUUCUUUUUGUUGCUUUGCUUUGCUUACUUGUCGUCGGUUCUUUUAGCUGUGUAUAGAGCCCAGUUGGCUGGGGUUGUAUAGUGCCUGUCUAGGCGAUCUCUUCUUUUUAAUACAGCAGGCAGCUCUCCUGCCGGUUCGUUUCAAAAAAAAAAAUUCAGAUGAAAAUGAACUGACAGAGAAAAGGGAGCAAAAUCUACAGGGCAUGGGUUAUUUUCAGAAAUAUAGAAGCAGAAGGUCAGGUUAGCUCAUGUAUGCCAAAUGUGCAAAGGAAUUGGAGAACUUUGAGAACUCUGUCAUCAACCUCUUGACACUUGAUUUCAACUAUAUUGAUUAAUUCAUGUUUUAUAUGCCAAUUAGGGUAUUAGUGAUGCUAAUGGAUAUAUUUUAUUUUAACUAGUGAUCAUAUCAUGUCAAAUUUAGUUCUGAUGCAUAUUUAUUAUGGUCCAAUUAGCUGUUCUUAAUUUUAAAAAGGAAUAAUUAGUCACUAUUUUUUUUAAUCUCAUUCACUCUCAUCUAUCCAAUCAAAUAUAAAAAAAUGACUUGUUCCACAUAUCUAAUCAAACACGCAGUAUGGAUAAUCUCAAAAUCCUAUAAAUAACCAUAUCAUACUUUUGUUGUGUUAGUUCCUUCAAUCUAUGUGGCUCAGUACUUUUUUUCUAAGGAAAGGUUACUGCAUGCGGUUGCGCCCCUGUUGGAGCGCACGACUCCCUAGCCUAUGUGCCUGCAGCCCAUGUUUCCUAGGCCAGCAGGACCAUAGUACUCGACAUGUUGUUGUCGUGGACAGGCCGAUUUGUGGGUGUCUAGGUACGGCCCAUUUGUAUAAUUUUCUUUAAGUUUCAUUAAUUUAGUUUUUUAUUUAUUCUUUUCUUUCUAGUUAAAUGAGUUUUUAUUUUUAGUUUUCAGUCAAGUUCUUUUGUCAGUGUUUUAUAGUUUCAGUUUUCAGUCUUAUUUUUUAAAUGUUUAUUUUUGGUUCCAUUUUCUAGUCACCCAUUUAGGUUUGAAUGUAUUCCUAAAUCCUACAAUUUUUUGUUUCAAUUGGCAGCCAGCUAUGCUUCCUGACUCUUGUAAUAAAUGCCCUUAUUUGGCAGCAGGUCAUGUUUUCUGGCUUUUUGUAAUGUGUUGGAUAAUAACUUGUCCUCCUAGUUGGUAACUUGCGCAAUGCUCGUUUUAAUAAUUUUCUCCUUCAGGUUGCAGCUUUUCUUUGUUUUGAUUCACUACUCUUGUUAGGGGUUAGUACGCUUAUGUAAAUACUAUAAAAUUUUUCUUAUAUUCUCAUGGUAACAAUCAAUGCAACUCCUUUUGUAAAUCUCCUAGCACAUUUUUACACAUAAAUUGCUACUAAAAUAUUUUUUUUUUUCGAAACAUAGGCAUAUGCGAUCUAGUUUUGUUAGCCUCAUCGCGUAGAACAUAUCGGUGCAAACGGAUAUUACCAUUCAUGAGUUAUAAUAAUUUAAAUAUAUUUUUUUGCUUUUUUUGUUUGUGUGUCAGUAUGCAAUAAGAAGAGAGUUGGGGGUUCGGAGGGGAUGGAGUGGGAGGGGAAAGGUAUGUGGCCAGAGUCCUAAGCUUGGGGGUGCAGAGGAGGGCUCUAGGUCCGGUGGUGCUUGCGGACAGGACAAACUCACAGUGGGGAUCACCCACUUGAUGUUUGCACUAUAGCUUGCAGGUUCUCCCAGUCCUUUUUUAGGCCGAUAUAUAUUUUCACGGUUGCAUUUGGUCUGCCCAAAUAUGCUUCUUGCUUCACUUGUCCGUAGGGAUAGACCCAUGGUCAGACACCCAGCUUUGCUGGGCUCAUCUUCUAUGGACUCUUAAGGCCCACUACAUCUUCCAAGCUGCAAUUGUGAGCCUUAGUGGCAUAGGAAGAGCGAGUAAAUGUGCGACGACGAAUGAAAGCAAGGAGACGCUCGGUGGUGGUAGCGACGCUCCUAAUUCCAAGAACCACACCUAGAGACACAAAUCUCUUGGCAUGGCUACAGUUCAACGACGUUCUCAAUCACUAAUUUAUUUGCAACACUCCAACUUCUUAUGGCUCUGGCUCCUCCUGCAAAACAAGUAUAGCAGUGUCGGUUCACAAGAGCCACUUAUUUUGUCUCUCCUCACGAAAUAAACUGGGAGCCUAAAGAAGCCACGUUUUGUGGCUCAUCUAGUACUGUAGCAUGAAGCAGAAGCUGGAGAAACCCUACCAAACAUGCCAUAUUCUUGGUGCUGUUCUUUCCUGCAGCGACCUAUCUGUAAGUUGUGCCAAACACCAGCCACCGGGUGCUGUAGCUCCGCACAACUGCUAUCAUCCAUCCAAUGAUCUAGUCAGAGGCAGCAUCCCUCAGCGGCGUUACCAGACUGGUCUUCUCAGUUUGCAGUAAAUAGCAGAUAGACAGAGGAAACAUAGCCAGAUAGGUAAUUAGAUAAAUUUGGGCAUGAUUUGAUAGUUGAUGAUUUGGUUGAUUAAUUCCUUUUAGCGUUUAAUUAUUUUAUAAUAAAUCUAAAAUUUGAUUUAGGAAUGUGGUGUUUUUUUUUGGUUGAUACGAGGAAUCAUGGAAGUGGAAGUCAAGAAACUUCAGAAAACUCAAACUAAGAAGAGGCACAACCACAUGAAGGUGAAGUGCCAAAUCCAGAUCAUCAUCAGCAACCAGAACCAAAUAUCGGCAGUGUAGCCGGAAUUAUUCCCGUCCGAACGUUCGGACGGGAACCUUCCUCCGAUGAUUCCGGCUCUUUUUUUCCCGCGCCGAAGGUUGUAGACGCAUGUGCGCCUGGGCGGCCGACCGACAGCAGCAGUUCCCACACGUGUAGUUUAUUGUGCAUGUUCUUUGACUGUUUCUACUGGCCGGGGACGUGUUCUGGGAGCCCAUGUGAUCAGGUACGUGGCUUUCUUUUCCUUUUUUUUAUUUUUUGUUUUCUUACGUUGCUUUUUAUUAUUAUUAUUAUUUUAUUUUGUAUUAAUUCUCUUUAUUUUUAUUAUACUCUAAUUGUUUUUUAUUCCUUUUUUAUUUUUCUAUGUUCACCCGUAGGUUGAUAUAUUUAUCUAAUUGUGUUUUUUUCUAUAUUUCAUUUUAUUAAUCUUUUUUUUCUAUUUCUAUUUAUUUUUUCUUUCUUUUUCUAUUUUUCUGAUGUUGCUUUUUAAUUGCUAUAUGAACUAUUUUUAUAUUUAUUUUUAUUUUUAUUUUUGUUUUUAUGUUUAUUUGAUAUGUUACAUAAGAUACAUAUAUCUUAUAGUUUUUAAAAUUUUCUUUUUUUUUAUUUAUUUAAGUUAUUCAUUGAUCUUAUUUUCUUUAUAUAUUUUCAUUUAUAUUCAUGUUCUAUGUGAAUUUUUUACUUAGUUAUUUACACUAAUUAAUUACUUGUAUAUUUAUAUUUAAUAUUUCUAUAUUAUAUGAGAUACAUGUGAUGUUUAUGUAAUAUAAAUGUGAUGAUCAUGUGUCAUAAUGCAAUGUUUUAUGAUGUAUUCUGCAAUAUUUAUAUGGUAUACAUUUGAUGUUUUGUGAUGUAUUUUAUGAUGUUUUACGAUAUUUUUCUGUGAUGUUUAUAUAGUAUAAUAUGAUAUAUUUUAUGAGGUUUACAUAUUAUAUAUGUAAUGUUUUCUCUGUUAUAUUUUUAUUUUCACUUUUUGUUUUUAUGUUUUAUUCUUCUUUUUUUCAUUUUUUUGUUUUAUAUUUUUGCCUUUAUGUUUUCUAUAGAAUUUUUAUUCUCCUUUUCCCUUAUGUAGAUUAAUUAAUUUGUUUUUAUGUUUACUUUUAAAUUUGUUUGUAUUCCAUGUGAUGUUAUUAUGUUGUUGCAAUGUUCUAUGAUAUAUUUUUAUGAUGUUCGCAUGGUAUACAUAUGAUGUUCUAUGGUAUAUUUUGUGAUGUUUCUGAAAUAUACAUACAAAUAUGUUUGUGAUGUAUACUGUAAUGUUCACAUAAUAUACAUUUGAUGUUCUAUAAUGUAUUUUUCUGAUGUUCAUGUAGUAUACAUAGGAUGUUCACAUAUAUGUAAUGUUCUACAAUGUUUUUUUGUUGUUCACGUAGUAUACAUGUGAUCUUCUAUGAUGUAUUUAGUGAUAUUCACAUAAUAUAUUUGCUAUGUUCUAUAGUGUAUUGAGGAUAUUCUAUGAUGCACUUAAUGAUGUUCAUUCAACGUAUAUGUGAUGUUCUAUAAUGUAUUUUGUAAUGUUCACAUAGUAUAUAUGUAAUGUUCACGUAAUAUACAUGUAAUGUUCUAUAAUAUAUCUAGCGAUGUUCUAUGAUGUGUCUAGUGAUGUUCUAUAAUAUAUUUUAGGAUAUUUAAAAAAAAUAUUCAUAUGAUAUUCUUUUAAAAUUUUCUCUAAUACGUGUUUUUGUUUUUUUGUUAUAUUUUACUCUUGAUUUCAUUAUUUUUGUUUACAUUAUUUAUUUAUUUAUUUAUUUAUUUAUGUGUACAUUAUAAUACCAAUUUCAUGAUUCUAAAAAUAAAAUAUUGUAAUUUAUUUGUACUUCCCAUUGCUUAGAUUUUUUUCCAUGUUUUUAUGAAAUAUAUUUUGGUAUUUUUAAUAUAAAAUAUUAUUUCUUAUGAUGCUUUAUUAAUUUAUUUUUUUACUUUAAAUGGUGCGGUGUAUUUAAUAAAGAAACUAUUACACAGUUAUCACCAUCUUGUUGAUGGUGUAGUGGUGGUGAGUGAUGGCUGAAGACCUCUAGGUCUUGAGUUUGAUUCACACCCUAGACUGAUUUUGCUUUUUUAUUUUCUCAAAAGUAUCUAUAGCUGGAACGGGCCAGCUUCCAGUGAUCUGGGCCGGAAGCGCGUGGGGGUGGGCACGGGUGGGCCAGAACCACCUGCGGGUGUGCGGGUGGGAAGCCGAGUUGGCUUGGGCCAGGUUCCAGGCUGGAAGCGCGAUGCGGGCGGGCGGGAAAAAUUGCGGGCAGGCGGGAAAAAUUGUCGGACAACGCUUAUGGUCCGAACGGCCGGACAGGAAGAGCCCCACCGGCCAGUGUGUUUAAACUUCUACACGUUCAAGAUAUCUCUUAAGGCAAGGACUAACUUUUCGUGGACACCAUGAGUGUUCUUCCUCUUUGAAUAAAGGAAAGUUUCUUGUGUUGAUUGAUUUUUUGAAAGAUACUAACAAUGAAGAAGUCAGAUGUGCCUCUAUGACCGUGAGAGCAUCUCCAAGGGUUUUGCAUUUGAGUAAUUUGCCAAAAAGCUCCAAAAGAGGUAUCCAACGGUUUUGCAUUCGGAGUUUGCAAUUUGGGCAACUUGGCAAAUGAGGGAGUAAACUUGGCAAAAAUGCCAAGCUGUGGACGACUUUGCAAACCCGAUCGCGCGAGCAAAGUCACGCGCGAGGAAAGCGCGCGCGCCUGAAGACCUUCUAUUUUUAUCCUUUGCCAAGUUCAAAUGCCAAUUCCCUUGGAGAUGACCUAUUUUUAUCCUUUGCAUUUUGUUAUGAGAGUUUACAAAUAGCAACAAAUGCCAAGUCAAUUUGCCAAAGCCUUUGGAGAUGCUCUGAUGGGUUAAAUUGCAAGAUGGCUUUCCAUAAAAUUCAAAAGAAUCUCACAAGAUGCUGUGCAGAAGAUAUAGCGGAAGCAAUUAUGGGAGAAAUUGGUGAUAUAAAGUUAAUGAUGAAUCAUGGGACAUUUCGAUCAGUUAAAGGAACAAAUGGGGGUAAUUUUAAGGUUAGUAGCUAAUUUAUUGUGCCAUUUGUAUUACUGUAUUACUAGCAGAUGUGCUACUGUGUUAGCCUUAUUGCUGUUUUGUUUAAAAAGUUAAAUUGGUAUUGUUGCUCAGGUAUGUGAAUGCUCAACGGAAUGUCAUCGAACGAUUUCUUCCUCUUCUACAUGUCAUAUAUAGACACUGCAGCUGAUUCAUUGGAAGCAUUAUUUAGAAUUCUUGAAAAUCACAAGUCAUCUUUUUCUCGAAUACAAGAGCAAGUUAUGGUGGAGCUUCGAAUAUGAGAGAUGAAUUUAAUGGCUUACAAAAAAAUCUAGAUAAAAACCCAUAUGCCUUCUACGUCCAUUGUUUUGCACAUCAGUUAUAGUUGGUUGUUAUUUAAUUCUAUGGCAAAUUGUUGUUCCUUUAUUCAUGAGAGUAUGUCUCAUUGAUUGUGAACACAACAACCACAUCUUGCAAGAGGAGGGACAUGCUACUUGAAAACAAUCAUAAAAAUACUUUGCGAUGUAUUGAAACUAGUGACACAUCCACAGGAAGAGGCUUGAAUGGGAUCACAUCAUACUACAUUGAUUCGUUUGUCUCAGAUGUGGGACUCGGUGAUAGAGGUGCUUCAUAUAGAUUACCAAAUGAAGCAACUUGUUUGAUAGAAAAAAUGGAGUGUUUUCAGUUUGUUUUUAUCCUCGUGGUUAUGUUAAAAUUAUCGGGCUUUGCUGCGGUACCUUCAACUCCAAAUGACUAUGAACUGUUCAUUUACUUCGAUUGGACGGUCAUGACGAAUUAUUACCUCCUAGGAGGUAAUAGAUGAUAUAUAUCCUAUAUAUAUAUAUCCUAUAUAUAUAUAUCCUAUAUAUAUAUAUAUAAUAAAAGCUUUAGAUAUAAAAAAAUCCUUUUUCUGGAUUUGAUUGAUGCAUGCACGUCUCUAACUGAUAUGGUAAAUCUUUUAAUUUUAUAACUUUGUAGUUGAUAUAUUUUGAUUACCAUAUUAUGUUGUAUGUAACUUUAUACGCUUGAUUUUGCAUGUUUUAGGACUUGCAUGUGUACAUGAUUAGUGUGUCGUGUCAUGUGUGUACGGGGCUAGCCUAGUUAAUGUGUAUGUGGUGAGCAUGUGAGUACGUGGUGGUUAGUGUGUGAGUACGUUUGGUUAGGCUAGUUAGCAUGUGUGUGGUGAGCAUGUCCAUGCAUGCAUGUUAGAUGAGUGGUUGGCAUGUGUAUGAAUUUGAUCAAGUUUAUACAAAAUAAUAUGAAUAAUUAUACGUUGAAAUAGAUUAAAUAUAAAUAUGACCAAGUUUGAAAUUAUUUGAUUUUUAAUUCAAGUUUGUACGAAAAUGAUCAAACUCAUGGUUUGAAUUCAUACAAAAAUUUAUAGUUCAAAUUUGGAUAGCACCUUUUAUUUGAUUUUAAUUCAAAUUCAUUACAGAGAGGGAAAUGAAUGGCUUUAUUCUGUAUCUGCCUUGAUUAGUCCCAUUAGGGGAAUCGAUAUGCAUGUGGAGAUCGGCAUUCAUGUCUUUAAAGGAAUCUCCCUCCCAUCAUUAGCGGGAUGUCAAAGUUUUAUUUUCUUUUCCUAGAUUUUUUAAUUUAUUUAGUAAUCCAUAAAAUGUGAAAAACCAUUGGCUCAGAUUGAUUUGAAAUAUUACCUCCUCGGAGGUAAAGUUUGUACCUUAGCAUAUUAUUUGGAUAGCAUAGAAGAUUCAUCACUGCCAGUUUGAUAGAAAUCUGCACUGAAAGUGAAUCUGUAGUAGUGUAACAUUGUCAAUGCACUUGGUGUUAGUUACUAGCUCCCAUUAUGGAUAUGAUAGGACUCUAUAGCACUGUGCCUUUCAAUCUCACGGGAUUUUUUUAUUGCAAAUGCAAAUUUUUCAUGAUGUGAAGUCUAGGUUGAAGACCAUGAGAGUAAGUGGCUGAGAGGACUUAUUUGAAGAGGCAAGACAAUUUUAGGCGGUGAGGGGUUUGUUCAAGGCGUGAUGGAUUUACUGUUACUAAUCUUCAUCAUUAUCAUGUUGGGAUUUUCUAUGUUGUUGUUGAAAAAAUACAUGUUGAGAUUCUAGGUUUAGUGAAGUGACUAUGGAGUUAUUAUUGUGUUUCUCUUGUCUUGAUCCAAAUAACUCUUUUUGUUGUGUCAACAAGCUUGCUCGACUUAAUGAAAUAUAUGAUGGCAGUUUCUCUGACAAUGACCAUGCAAUAAUAAGGGGACAACUUUGAGACCUAUAUUUCUUCAUGUGAGGAAGCAUCAUGCCUUUGCUACUUGUACAGAUAUUGAAAGCUUGGCCACAAAGAUGAUUGCUACAGAAAAGCAUCUGUUUUUUUUCCAUUGGUCUACAAACUGAUUGAAUUGGCAUUGUUAGUGCCAAGUGUCAACCGCGUCUGUUGAAAGGUUAUUCUCAGCAACAGAAAUUAUAAAGUCAAAAUAGCACAAUAGAAUUGCCAACGAUCGGCUCAACAACUUGAUAGUGUGCUAUGUUAAGCGAGAAUUAUUCAGAUCACUUGAUGAAGCUUGUAUUCUUUCGUCAUUUUCAAAACUGGAAGAGUUGAAUGGUGCAACUUCCUUGUAGUUGUAUGCUUCAUAGCCAGAAACUAUCUUGUAUUUUCCUGUUAAGUUUUACUUAAUUGAUCCAUAUGUGAUCUUGUGAACAUGUACUACAAUAAGAUUCUAGUUAAAACUAAUGUGGCUGUCUUAUUUUGCUUAUACUAUAAUCCAUCUUUCUGAGCGC
rnacentral:lncRNA from 1 species